rnacentral:rRNA from 1 species
UGGGGAAUUUUGGACAAUGGGCGAAAGCCUGAUCCAGCAAUGCCGCGUGUGUGAAGAAGGCCUUCGGGUUGCAAAGCACUUUUGUCCGGAAAGAAAUCCUUGGCUCUAAUACAGUCGGGGGAUGACGGUACCGGAAGAAUAAGCACCGGCUAACUACGUGCCAGCAGCCGCGGUAAUACGUAGGGUGCAAGCGUUAAUCGGAAUUACUGGGCGUAAAGCGUGCGCAGGCGGUUUGCUAAGACCGAUGUGAAAUCCCCGGGCUCAACCUGGGAAUUGCAUUGGUGACUGCACGGCUAGAGUGUGUCAGAGGGGGGUAGAAUUCCACGUNUAGCAGUGAAAUGCGUAGAGAUGUGGAGGAAUACCGAUGGCGAAGGCAGCCCCCUGGGAUAACACUGACGCUCAUGCACGAAAGCGUGGGGAGCAAACAGGAUUAGAUA